rnacentral:misc_RNA from 1 species
CAGAGAUCAUGCCCUUCGGGGUAGACCUCCCACCCUGUGUUAUAUACGAUUGUUGCUUUGGCAGGUGCACCUCAGCCAGAGGACCCCAAACUCUGUAUUUAGUGUUGUCUGAGUAAUAUUUUAAUACGUUA